rnacentral:rRNA from 1 species
AUGGCCGUCCUCCUCCGCGCACGCUCCCACCUCCUCUCCGGCGCCAUCCGCCGCAGCUUGCUCGGGGAGCGCGGGCGCGGCGCGCGAAGGUUCUCGACCGACCCAACCACCGUCGGCGAGGCUGCAGCCACCGGCCGCGGUGCGACGACCGGCGGGACCGCCGCAAACACCAGCGGGGUUCCGACGAAGACGAACGGCGGCGGGCCAGCGAAUGGACGAGGGGCGGCGAACGGCGGGGGUGGAGCGAGCGGAGGUGGGGCUCCGGCCAACGGCGGCGGCGGCGCGGUCACCGGCUCAGGCAACGGGAGCGGUGGAUGCGGAUGCGCUGCGGUGGCGGACCUGCGGACGGAUGUAUUCACCGAGGUGGGGAGGGUGCGGGGCUGCUACAACACCCUCGCCGAGGUGGAUGAGAAGCUGAUGGCGGAAAUAACGAGCGUUAAGCUGGAAGCCGCCAUGAACCAAGUGCGAUCCAAAGAGAAACUUGUUACUACAAUUUACACGAUGUUUGGAUCCGCCGUCGCCUUCACUUUUGCGGGCGCCACUCUGAUUGGGGGCUACGUGCACGACUUCGUCGUGCACGAAGCUGCCAAGGAAGUACGCGCCAAGCUUCGUCUGGACAAGGCCAAGGGCACGACGCCUCCUCCUGCAGCACCCCCGGCGGCGGGCAGCCCCCCCAAGUAG